AACGAACGCUGGCGGCAUGCCUAACACAUGCAAGUCGAAUGAGACCUUCGGGUCUAGUGGCGCACGGUUGCGUAACGCGUGGGAACCUGCCCUUAGGUUCGGAUUAACUCCCCGAAAGGGGUGCUAAUACCGGGUAAUGUCUUCGGACCAAAGCUUUCUCGGCUUUGGAUGUGGCCGCGUUGGAUUAGCUAGUUGGUAGGGUAAAAGCCUACCAAGGCGACGAUCCAUAGCUGGUUUGAGAGGAUGCUCAGCGACACUGGGACUGAGACACGGCCCAGACUCCUAGGGGAGGCAGCAGUGGGGAAUAUUGGACAAUGGGCGAAAUCCUGAUCCAGCAAGGCCGCGUGAGUGAUGAAGGCCUUAGGGUUGUAAAGCUCUUUUACCCGGGAUGGUAAUGACAUUACCGGGAGAAUAAGCUCCGGCUAACUCCGUG
rnacentral:rRNA from 1 species